rnacentral:siRNA from 1 species
UUUAGACCAUCAAAGAUGUUG